rnacentral:rRNA from 1 species
AUUGAACGCUGGCGGCAGGCCUAACACAUGCAAGUCGAACGAGUGGCGGACGGGUGAGUACUGUCUGGGAAACUGCCCGCUGGAGGGGGAUAACUACUGGAAACGGUAGCUAAUACCGCAUACCAUCGGAUUUGCCCAGAUGGGAUUAGCUUGUAGGUGAGGUAACGGCUCACCUAGGCGACGGUCCCUAGCUGGUCUGAGAGGAUGACCAGCCACACUGGAACUGAGACACGGUCCAGACUCCUACGGGAGGCAGCAGUGGGGAAUAUUGCAUAAGGGGCGCAAGCCUGAUGCAGCCAUGCCGCGUGUAUGAAGAAGGCCUUCGGGUUGUAAAGGACUUUCAGCUGGGAGGCGUUACCCGCAGAAGAAGGACCGGCUAACUCCGUGCCAGCAGCCGCGGUAAUAC